GGCCGUAUAGCGCAGCGGAAGUCGCGCCGCCUUGCCAAGGCGGAAGACACCGGUUCGAAUCCGGUUGCGGCCA
rnacentral:tRNA from 1 species